rnacentral:rRNA from 1 species
ACUACGGGUGGCAGCAGUGGGGGAUAUUGCACAAUGGGGGAAACCCUGAUGCAGCGACGCCGCGUGAGUGAAGAAGUAUUUCGGUAUGUAAAGCUCUAUCAGCAGGGAAGAAAAUGACAGUACCUGACCAAGAAGCCACGGCUAACUACGUGCCAGCAGCCGCGGUAAAACGUAGGGGGCAAGCGUUAUCCGGAUUUACUGGGUGUAAAGGGAGCGUAGACGGUUAUGUAAGUCUGGAGUGAAAGCCCGGGGCCAAACCCCGGGACUGCUUUGGAAAAUGUGUAACUGGAGUACAGGAGGGGCAGGCGGAAUUCCUGGUGUAGCGGUGAAAUGCGUAGAUAUCAGGAGGAACACCGGCGGCGAAGGCGGCCUGCUGGACUGAAACUGACGUUGAGGCUCGAAAGCGUGGGGAGCAAACAGGAUUAGAUACCCCUGUAGUC